AGUAGCAUGGCAUAGUGGUUUGAGUGAGGGACUACGACUCUAGAGACCAGGGUUCAAUUCCCCCUCUGCCAUGA